rnacentral:misc_RNA from 1 species
AAGUCGUAACAAGGUUUCCGUAGGUGAACCUGCGGAAGGAUCAUUAUUGAUUCUACUACAAAAUGAGAAAGGCAAAGUGGUUCGCGGUUGUUGCUGGCCUCUCCGGAGGCAUGUGCACUCUUCGUCCUCGCUUUACUUCUUCAUUUUCUACACACCUGUGAACUUGUUUGUAGGGUGCCUUCACGGGCACUCUAUGUUUUUUCAUAUACUCCAAUGCAUGUCUAUAGAAUGUGUCCCUUUGCUCUCGUCAGAGAGAAAGAAUACAAGUUAUUAUAACUUUCAGCAACGGAUCUCUUGGCUCUC